rnacentral:lncRNA from 10 species
CUUUUUUUUCUUUUUUUAAUUUUUAGAGACAGGGUCUCACCCUGUUGCUCAGGAUGGAGUGCAGUGGCCUAAUCAUGACUCACUGCAGCCUCCUGGUCUCAAGCAAUCGUCCCACCUCAGCCUCCUGAGUAGCUGGGACUACAGGCAUGCACCACCACACGUGGUUAAUUUUUAAUUUUUUUAUAGAGAUGGGAUCUUGCUGUGUUGCCCAGGCUGGACUCAAACUCCUGGCUUUGUGUGAUCCUUCCACCUCAGCCUCCCAGAGUGCUGGUAUUAUAGGUGUAAACCACUGUGCCUGGCCCCUCAUUUCCUUUUGAAUUCUGAUUUCUUUUCUCUCCCAGGUGUUAACUGUCUCCCCUUUUCUACUAACAAAAUCUUAUUGACCUUUCACCUCCCACUUUAGGGAAAUCUUAAGCUGGACGCUGGAUACAUUUGGGCCCUGAAGCUUACUUCGGGACUUCCAACUAUAUGCCCUCCUUCUCCCUGUAUUUUCUAUCUAUGUCUUUCAAAGUUGAUUGGCAGCCUAGGAAGCUAUUUGUCGUCAACACUGGCCCCAUUCUGGUUGUAUUUAUUUAUGCCUUCAGGCACUGUCAAUUUCAAUAAAUGUGAUUUUGCAAGCAAAGCCAGAAAAAAAAAGGGUAGGAGAAAGAGAAGAGAAAGAAACUGAAUCUCACAUACCAUAUUUAACCACAGAAAUGACAACAUCAGCUAAAGUUGUGCACCCUGUCCAAAAUAAAUAAAUAAAUAAAAUUCCCAUGCAGGAUCAUUCAUGGCGUGAAACCAGGACCUAAUCUACCUCCCGCCAUUGUUUCCUAAGUGGUCCCCAGUGACAGUUCACCUUUUCAAUCACAAGUCACAAAAGAAGGGUGGGUCAGACAAAUACAGGUUGCAUGGAAAAUGUGGGUGAAAAAACAGUAUGGGAGCCCAUUGGGAAUGCAUUUUUUUGUAGAGUAUUUCCACAAGAGCAGGACUCAAGGAUAAAUGUUCCCUACAGAAAUAUUACUGCAGCAUUCCUGUUCAUGUUUCCCCACCACAUAGGAUGAGCAUCUAACUUGCACAAAACCCAUUCAGGGGAUUCAUUGCUCAUCACCGAACCAGGGCAAUGCUGGGUUGACCAUGUAAAGAGUCUUCGUUCCAGCUGGGCGCGGUGGCUCACGUCUGUAAUCCCAGCACUUUGGGAGGCCGAGGCAGGUGGAUUACCUGAGGUCAGGAGUCCGAAACCGGCCUGGCCAAAAUGGUGAAACCCCAUCUCUACUAAAAAUAAAAAAAUUAGCCGGGCAUGGUG